GGAAAUUGUUUAUUGCUGGUAGCGGAAUGAACUAGUUAUUAGAUCUACCUGCGAGGUUGGGCUUUCUUGGGGAAACGAAGAAACUAGAGACCAGAGAAUCGCUCGCAGUUGCAGUUUCUAUUUCGAUUCAAAAGGUUAUGUAUUUUUGCUCAAAUUCAAUUAAUUUUAUAUGAAAUGCUCAUAUUUAAUUCAAAAUCUAGCAUCUUCAAUGACUUUUUCGCUAUUUCUGAUGUUUAUAGCUUGUUUUAUAUCCAGAAAUAGUUGAGUUCACCGAUCAGUUUCUGUCAAAAUUAGAGGAAAUAAUUCAUCGUCCUUCUCCUCAACUUUCCUGUAAGUGGAAAUUUUUCUGGCAUUUUUUUCUUCAGUAAAUACCUAAAAUCGACUGAUAGGGCGACUAGAUUCCUAAUUUUCGCCCAAUUUCCUUGAUUUUACAUUUGUGGCACUUUCUGAAUCAAAUUUGAUUCGGCUCCUGAGGAUGGGUUUCUCUUACUACAUUUUAACUCUAACUUCCUCUCGUGCUUGGCAAGUUGAAGUUACAAUGUCCUGUAAUUUCAUUAAUAUAUAGCUCAUUCCAGCCUUAUCAAUUAUUUUGCUGCUUUACUAGCUGGUUUCAUUGCAUUUCAGUUUUUUUUUUCAAUAAUUGAUAGUGAAACAAGAUUUUUGCAAUGAAUAAAUAAGAGAAAUGCUAAUGAAGAAGCUCCUUCCAAUCUCAUUGAUGUCUGCCAAAACCACUCCUUCAAAAUCCUCCUGGAAGGGUCUGUUUGAUAUUGCUGUACUGUGAUGCCCUAGAGACAAACACUCAUCUUAAAUAUAUUAGUUAAGUUAAAUUUGAAAUUUUUUAGUAAAAAAAUUUCACUAAACAGCUUUUUCAAUUUUUUUUAACAGUAUCUAGAACAGUGCUUUUCCAAAAAGCGGGUUGGAGCCAUAAUUUUGUCUACAAUUGUUUUAUAAACAAUCUUUGAUUCCUAACAUCUUAAUGUUUCUCUCUGGUUAAAUACUCCAAUAUCAAAAUCUUUACACAAUGCCAGUCUACAAGCCUUUUUUCCUCCUACAUGCCAAAAGCAUUAAUUUUGAAUUCUAGAAACCCUCUAGUGUUUCUGGACUUACCUAAUUUUCCUCAUAUAUACCAUAUAGUCAACCCCAAUUAUACGAAGAACUGGUGAUUUAUUAUCAGUUCUCAUUAUUGAUCAGCAGCAUUCAGAUAUUUUAACAGGUAACAUAUAAACUUUACAUCUUGUGAUCAGCUUGUCCAUUUCAAGUUCCAUUCAUACAGUUAUUAUCUUUUGUGACAGAGCUUUACCUGUGCUACUGCAACGUUGUCUAUCCUGUUUCCUAUGGAUUCCUUCAGUUUUUGAUUGCUUUAAGCAAGCCUCGGUGACCAUUCCUUCAUCCCUCAUGACUUCAACUGUUUCAACUUCUCGAGGAUUUAUUCCACCAACAAGGCAUAGCUCCUUUGAAUCCUCAAGUAUCAUUGGUCCUGGAUCUUUAGGUCAGCCUGAGCUAGAUAGUGAUGAAGCAGAGUUGCUCUCUGUAUCCUGGAACCAGGAUUAUGGUUGCUUUGCUACUGGCACAAACCGGGGGUUUCGUAUAUAUAACUGUGAGCCCUUUAAGGAAACUUUCAGACGUGAUCUGAAAAAUGGGGGAUUCAAAAUUGUUGAGAUGCUGUUCAGGUGCAAUAUUUUGGCACUUGUUGGCAGUGAUUCUAAUUCCCAGUAUCCUCCAAACAAAGUUUUAAUCUGGGAUGAUCAUCAGAGCCGGUGCAUUGGUGAAUUUUCAUUUAGGUCUGAGGUUCGUGCAGUGAAAUUAAGACGGGAUCGAAUUGUUGUUGUUCUUGAGCACAAAAUUUAUGUUUAUAGUUUCAUGGAUCUAAAACUUCUUCAUCAGAUUGAGACUCUGACAAAUCCCAGGGGACUGUGCUGCCUUUCUCACCAUUCAAAUACAUCUGUUUUAGCUUGCCCAGGUCUUCAACGAGGCCAGGUUCGAGUUGAACACUUUGGGCUGAAUGUCAUGAAGUUGAUUAAUGCUCAUGAUUCUCAUCUUGCAUGCAUCACCUUGACAAUGGAUGGCCUGCUUCUUGCAACUGCUAGUACAAGGGGCACCUUGAUAAGAAUCUUCAAUACAAUGGAUGGGACUCGCUUGCAAGAGGUGCGAAGAGGAGUCGACAGAGCAGAAAUUUAUGGCAUUGCACUCUCUCGGAAUGUUCAGUGGUUGGCUGUGUCAAGUGACAAAGGUACUGUUCAUAUUUUCAGUCUUAGAGUUCGUGUGGCUGGGGAGGACUCUUCCUGUCACUCAAGUCCUAUUCAGGGUCCAGCAUUGUUAAACCAGAAUUCAUCAACUUCCCUUGAUGCCCUUAUCUCUCCAAGCACUAGUGCUAACCCUGGUUCAUCCUUGUCUUUUAUGAGAGGUGAGAAGAUUUUAUCUAUAUUUUUGUAUAAGCUUAUUAAUAAAUGUUUCUAAGACGCUACUUUUAGUGUCUUCUUCAUCUAUCUUUUUUUUUUCUCUUUUUCUCCAUUGAGCAAAAGCCAAAAGGCCUUGACUGACUUUGAUAACAAUGAGCUGCAUGAUAGUUUAUGAGAAGGUUUCAUUUGAUAACGAGUUUAUGAUGUGUAAUUCUUAUAAUGAAAAUGCCAGUAUUUAUUUCAAUAAAAUCUGAUAAAAAUUGCUAAAUAAGUUCUAGAAACCCAACAUAAGUAUCUGAAAUUCCAUAUGUUAAUGUCACAUAAUAUAGGAGAUAUAGGAAUAAGAUGUGAUGUGAGUGAGUGUAAUUUCUAAAAGUUUUAGGAGAGUAUAGAAGGGAUCAGUUUGGUGGAAAGUUAGUAGAUUCUGUUAUAGCUAACUAAUUCUGUUAGUUAGUUAAAGUAGUCAGCUGGGCAGUUAGGGGAGAGUAUAAAUAACUCAGUGUAGCUAUCUUGCAAUUCAUUCCAAGAAUUAUCAAGA
rnacentral:misc_RNA from 1 species